UCCUACGGGAGGCAGCAGUGAGGAAUAUUGGACAAUGGGCGCAAGCCUGAACCAGCCAUGCCGCGUCGAGGAUGACGGUCCUAUGGAUUGUAAACUGCUUUUGUACGAGAAGAAACACUCCUACGUGUAGGAGCUUGACGGUAUCGUAAGAAUAAGGAUCGGC
rnacentral:rRNA from 1 species